GGCGGCUGGCCACUCCACAUAAUGGUCAACCGUACAUGAAAAAAGGAGGAGUAAAAAGCCCCGGCUCGGGCUGCGGCAGUGUGGAGACCUGUCGUAAUGCGGGAGACGUAAGUCCCCGUGAGGGCACAUCAGGCGGAGGCCAUGUGUCCGGAGUCAGAAAGCAUGGC
rnacentral:ncRNA from 1 species